rnacentral:tRNA from 1 species
GUCCAGGGAUGGGAACCGAACCCACAGUGUUCCGCUUACCGGGCAGAUGCCAUGUCCACUAGGCUACCCUGGA